rnacentral:rRNA from 1 species
CAGUCGCCGCGGUAAUACGAAGGGGGCUAGCGUUGCUCGGAAUUACUGGGCGUAAAGCGUGCGCAGGCGGCUUUGCAAGACAGAUGUGAAAUCCCCGGGCUUAACCUGGGAACUGCAUUUGUGACUGGCGAGCUAGAGUAUGGCAGAGGGGGGUAGAAUUCCACGUGUAGCAGUGAAAUGCGUAGAGAUGUGGAGGAAUACCGAUGGCGAAGGCGGCUACCUGGACUGACACUGACACUGAGGCGCGAAAGCGUGGGGAGCAAACAGGAUUAGAGACCCGUGUAGUCCCUGUCUCUUAUAC